rnacentral:piRNA from 1 species
AUGGAUUUGAGCUAGCAUGCAAG